GAUAGAUCAGAAUUCGUCGU
rnacentral:snRNA from 1 species